rnacentral:rRNA from 1 species
GGUACUCGAGCGGCGAACGGGUGAGUAACACGUGAGUAAUCUGCCCUGCGCUCUGGGAUAGCCACCGGAAACGGUGAUUAAUACCGGAUAGGACCACUUCACGCAUGUGAUGGUGGUGGAAAGUUUUUUCGGCGCAGGAUGUGCUCGCGGCCUAUCAGCUUGUUGGUGAGGUAACGGCUCACCAAGGCUUUGACGGGUAACCGGCCUGAGAGGGUGACCGGUCACACUGGGACUGAGACACGGCCCAGACUCCUACGGGAGGCAGCAGUGGGGAAUAUUGGACAAUGGGCGGAAGCCUGAUCCAGCAACGCCGCGUGAGGGAUGACGGCCUUCGGGUUGUAAACCUCUUUCAGUACCGACGAAGCGAAAGUGACGGUAGGUACAGAAGAAGGACCGGCCAACUACGUGCCAGCAGCCGCGGUAAUACGUAGGGUCCGAGCGUUGUCCGGAAUUAUUGGGCGUAAAGGGCUCGUAGGCGGUUUGUCGCGUCGGGAGUGAAAACACCGGGCUUAACUCGGUGCUUGCUUUCGAUACGGGCAGACUAGAGGUAUGCAGGGGAGAAUGGAAUUCCUGGUGUAGCGGUGAAAUGCGCAGAGAUCAGGAGGAACACCGGUGGCGAAGGCGGUUCUCUGGGCAUUACCUGACGCUGAGGAGCGAAAGUGUGGGGAGCGAACAGGAUUAGAUACCCUGGUAGUCCACACCGUAAACGUUGGGCGCUAGGUGUGGGGCCU